GCUGCAUGGCUGUCGUCAGCUCGUGUCGUGAGAUGUUGGGUUAAGUCCCGGCAACGAGCGCAACCCCUGCAUUCAGUUGCCAUCGGGUGAAGCCGGGCACUCUGGAAGGACUGCCAUCGACAAGAUGGAGGAAGGUGGGGACGACGGUCAAGUCAUCAUGGCCCUUAUGUCCAGGGCGACACACGUGCUACAAUGGCCGGCACAACGGGAAGCGAGUUCGCGAGGACGAGCGGAUCCCUUAAAGCCGGUCGCAGUUCGGAUUGAAGUCUGCAACUCGACUUCAUGAAGCUGGAAUCGCUAGUAAUCGCAGAUCAGCCAAGCUGCGGUGAAUACGUUCCCGGGCCUU
rnacentral:rRNA from 1 species